rnacentral:rRNA from 1 species
GAUCCUGGCUCAGGAUGAACGCUAGCUACAGGCUUAACACAUGCAAGUCGCGGGGCAGCAUGUCGGUUGCUUGCAACCGAUGAUGGCGACCGGCGCACGGGUGAGUAACGCGUAUCCAACCUGCCCUUCACCACGGAAUAAUCCAGUGAAAAUUGGUCUAAUACCGUAUGAGGUCAUACGAUGGCAUCAGAAUAUGACGAAAGGUUUGGCGGUGAAGGAUGGGGAUGCGU